UAUUUUUUUUUACAAAUAUUUGCACUGUUAAACAAAAGACAUAGUAUUUUUCAAUUCACCUCAUACCAGUACUGUAGUGCAAUCUCUUUGUUGUAAAUGUGCAAUUUACAAAUGUAGAUUUUUUUUGUUACAUGACUGCGCUCAAAAGCAAAACAAUGUAAAACUUUAGAGCCUAGAUGUCCACUCAGUCCUACUUCUUGUUCAGCCAAUCGCUAAGACAUUAAUUAAAUUAAUUAAUUAAUAAGGUCACAAGGGAGCUGCCCCUCAUCAGCUGCUCAAGACUGUGGAUUUGGGCACAGGUCAAUUCACUAAACAGCUGCUGUGAUUCCCCCGCCACAUUUCUCCUUCCAGGGGCGAGAUCAGUUUAUUAAACAGCCUGACCUAAAAAAAUCAAAGUGGAGCCGGGAGGCGGCCGGGCAUCGUGUCCAUCACUCGGUAGCUGAGGCGCGUCCGCCAGCAGGGGUCGCCUCACGCCCUGGAAAUCCGCUCCAGCGCUGCAGGCACCUGGGGCUGGGUUUGUUCGCGGCUCUAUUGCUAUCGCAACGGGAGCUUCGUGUCGCAGGAGAGGGACGCGCAGGUCCCGCCAGCCAGAGCGCGCAGCUCCCUUGCCUGCAGCCGGGGCUUCCCCUGCGUCCUUGUCUGGUGCUGGCCGAGCAGGCCUGGCAGAGGGCGCUGCCCCUCCCUGGGAGCCGCUGGAGGAGGAUGCGCUCAGAGCCGCGCCAUGGGGAGCUCGGUGAGGAAGGGCAAAGCGGUGCUGCCGGCAGAACAGGCUGCCCGCCCGAGCAGGGAGCAGCCCCACCGAGCAGCGUACUUCCUGGGCACAGACGCUGUCUCUGGUAUCCCCAUCUCUCCGCAGACAAGCUGGAGGAUGCAUUUAUCCCAUUGCUGUGUUCGGGCAAGAUCUGUUCAGCAACAGAAGAUUAUCACCAUGAAGCUCAGACUGCAAACAAUGGACAAGCCAUUACAGCUUCCUGCAAAAAUAAAGAUACAGACCUGCAGUUUAAAAUACAGGCCUACAUAGAUAAAAACACUGUUAUGAUCUUCAGUAACACAGCGUGCAGUCUGUCUGCUAAGGUAAAAUGUUAAUUUUCACGCAGAGAUAUACAGGAUUUGUCAUAUCUUACAAGUUCACUGUUCUUCAUUUCACUAAUGUAACUGAGUUGCAAGAUCCCAUUGACUUCAGCAUGGCUCCACAUGGGCACAGGAGUCUGUCCAUGUGAAGUCAUUUUCAAUGAAACAGGUCUUAGUUGCUGUCUCCUCUACUUUUCCUAGUCCAACCAUAGCCAGAACCAUCUUUCUAUUUUUUUCCCUGCAAAGUGUAUGUCUGGUCUCUAAUCCCAGCUACAGAUUGCUCCUGUGUCUGGCACCCAUCCCGCUGUCCCUGACAAAUAUCUGGUCCUGACCUUCCAGCUCAUAGGCCUCAGUUCAGCAAAGUACUUCAGCAUGCGCUUAAGUUUAAUU
rnacentral:lncRNA from 1 species